CGGAUCCUUCCAUCCCUCGCCUAGCGAACAGACCCGGCUGGCCAUCCUCAACGCACCCCUCCCAUUUUCCAUUCGGAUGUAUGCGUGGGUGACCAGCACAUCGAGGAGUUCCACAAGCACACAUGAGGUUUUAUCGCAUUCGAGACAGUUUCAGUGGCACAUAACAACUAAUCACCAAUUCACCAUGGCGUCCUCCACCUAUCCAGUCCGGUCCUCCUCGCCCUUCUCCUCCAACCCGCGCUCACAGCAGCGACCUCGCUCUCGGUGCUGCUGCUCUCAACGGCGUCGUGGUGGAUUGUAGGUGUGGAUGGGCAGCGCUUGAAGCCGGUGUGCACGAAGUGGGCUUUGCAUUUGGAGCCCGCAGCCGCGGAGGGCCUAGCGCGGUGCGGCAUGGCACGUCGAACAUCACAGGACAUGUGGCAUCGAUGGGAUUCAACUAUGUCAGGCUCACCUGACCGACCUACCUCCUCACCAACGUCGUGCUCGCUGGAGCGUGUCGGCGUGCAGGAGUGUGUUGUUUUGUAGUCCCUAUUUUUAGUCCGUGGAAAAGCCAGACGCAAAGUGAAGUGUAGUUUUCUAGAAAAAAAGGUAUCUGAAACUGAAUCCAAAGUACGAAGUCAGUAAUGAGGAGUGUGUCUCUCUCAGGCUUGAACUGUCGCAGAGUUCAGUGAAACUCGACACUAUCUUUGAGGCAUCUUUCAAGUUCAUGAUAUAUGAUCAGUUAAUCGGAAAGCACAAGGUGCAUCUAGGUAACCACAGCUUCCAGACUGCAAGUACGAGCUCUGCCAUCGCAUUCAUGUUACCUCUGAAAGCACUCAGACAAUCCUCUAGAUUUAUUGUCAAUAACAGCUGCGUAUUUGGCAUUGGCUUCAUCAAAGUUGCCACUAUCAAAGUUAACACGACGCUAGAAACACUGUUUGUCAGGAAGAUGAACAUCUUCAACGAGGCCAAAGUUUACACUUGGAAAAUCGAGGAUUUCUCUGCUCUGAAGAACCCGUCCCACUCACCGGAGUUUGAGAUCGCUGGAUACACAUGGUGAUAAAUAAUCUUUUCAGCUUGCAGUACUUGACAUGUACUCCACAUGACUGAACGUUGAUAUCAUAAUCUGAACUUCCUUGCAAUGCUAAGAGUGGUUCUGAACCACAUCGGUUUUGAAAAUUUUACUUGAAACACAAUUAUAGCAGUCCUGCACGUCGUCAACCUGAUUGUGUGACCCUGACCAAUUUGCAGGAUUAUCUCUUUGAAUCCAUCCUACGAUGGUAACAGCCUGUCCUUAUUCCUGAAAAUGAAGAAGACAAACGACGUCCCCAAAGGCUCUGGGAGCCUGGUCGAGUUCGCUUUAUCCAUCAAAGACCAGGAAAACGGCAAGGACAGGAAAUAUCCAGGCAGGUGCCAGUUCUCGAGCAAACACCAUCGCUGGGGAUGGAAGAAGUUCAUCUCGCUGGAGGACUUCAAGGACUCGUCAAAGGGUUAUCUCAUCAAGGGCAAGUGCUGCAUCGAGGCUGAGGUCGCAAUCAGUGGCUCUUCGAAGACGGAGUACUCUAUGUAAUUUGAUUUGUGAGAGCUCAUGAUUAGUGUUUAUUCUCGCUAGAACCAACUAUAUAGCGUGUUCCAUAUGUAUUAGCAUGCCAUCGAGACUCUAGCUUGCUCUAUAGAUAUCUCGACGUAUCCGCUCUUCAAGCUUCGUUCUGUCGAGUUGAAUGUGGUCUAAUAAGUGAAUAUAUGCAAACUGGGAUCUUAUUAUUUUAGGCUAUUCUGGCAAUCUAUCUUGAUUGCGACGAAUGAUUUCAC